rnacentral:rRNA from 1 species
CCUACGGGAGGCAGCAGUAAGGGAUAUUGCGACAAUGGGCGCAAGCCUGACGCAGCAACGCCGCGUGCGGGAUGACGGCCUUCGGGUUGUAAACCGCUUUUCGAGGGGAAGAGGAAGGACGGUACCCUCGGAAUAAGUCUCGGCUAACUACGUGCCAGCAGCCGCGGUAAAACGUAGGAGGCGAGCGUUAUCCGGAUUUACUGGGUGUAAAGCGCGUGCAGGCGGACCUGUAAGUCGUGCGUGAAAGCGCCCGGCUCAACCGGGCGAGGACGUGCGAAACUGCAGGACUAGAGGUAGGUAGAGGCGUGUGGAAUUCCGGGUGUAGUGGUGAAAUGCGUAGAUAUCGGGAGGAACACCAGUGGCGAAGGCGGGUUCCUGGCCCAUGACUGACGCUGAGGUGCGAAAGCCGGGGGAGCGAACGGGAUUAGAUACCCCGGUAGUCCCGGCUGUAAACGAUGGAUGCUAGGUGUGGGGGGUUACCCCUCUGUGCCGCAGCUAACGCGAUAAGCAUCCCGCCUGGGGAGUACGAUCGCAAGAUUGAAACUCAAAUGAAUUGACGG